AAAUUGAAGAGUUUGAUCAUGGCUCAGAUUGAACGCUGGCGGCAGGCCUAACACAUGCAAGUCGAACGGUAACAGGAAACAGCUUGCUGUUUCGCUGACGAGUGGCGGACGGGUGAGUAAUGUCUGGGAAACUGCCUGAUGGAGGGGGAUAACUACUGGAAACGGUAGCUAAUACCGCAUAACGUCGCAAGACCAAAGAGGGGGACCUUCGGGCCUCUUGCCAUCGGAUGUGCCCAGAUGGGAUUAGCUAGUAGGGGGGGUAACGGCUCACCUAGGCGACGAUCCCUAGCUGGUCUGAGAGGAUGACCAGCCACACUGGAACUGAGACACGGUCCAGACUCCUACGGGAGGCAGCAGUGGGGAAUAUUGCACAAUGGGCGCAAGCCUGAUGCAGCCAUGCCGCGUGUAUGAAGAAGGCCUUCGGGUUGUAAAGUACUUUCAGCGGGGAGGAAGGGAGUAAAGUUAAUACCUUUGCUCAUUGACGUUACCCGCAGAAGAAGCACCGGCUAACUCCGUGCCAGCAGCCGCGGUAAUACGGAGGGUGCAAGCGUUAAUCGGAAUUACUGGGCGUAAAGCGCACGCAGGCGGUUUGUUAAGUCAGAUGUGAAAUCCCCGGGCUCAACCUGGGAACUGCAUCUGAUACUGGCAAGCUUGAGUCUCGUAGAGGGGGGUAGAAUUCCAGGUGUAGCGGUGAAAUGCGUAGAGAUCUGGAGGAAUACCGGUGGCGAAGGCGGCCCCCUGGACGAAGACUGACGCUCAGGUGCGAAAGCGUGGGGAGCAAACAGGAUUAGAUACCCUGGUAGUCCACGCCGUAAACGAUGUCGACUUGGAGGUUGUGCCCUUGAGGCGUGGCUUCCGGAGCUAACGCGUUAAGUCGACCGCCUGGGGAGUACGGCCGCAAGGUUAAAACUCAAAUGAAUUGACGGGGGCCCGCACAAGCGGUGGAGCAUGUGGUUUAAUUCGAUGCAACGCGAAGAACCUUACCUGGUCUUGACAUCCACAGAACUUUCCAGAGAUGGAUUGGUGCCUUCGGGAACUGUGAGACAGGUGCUGCAUGGCUGUCGUCAGCUCGUGUUGUGAAAUGUUGGGUUAAGUCCCGCAACGAGCGCAACCCUUAUCCUUUGUUGCCAGCGGUCCGGCCGGGAACUCAAAGGAGACUGCCAGUGAUAAACUGGAGGAAGGUGGGGAUGACGUCAAGUCAUCAUGGCCCUUACGACCAGGGCUACACACGUGCUACAAUGGCGCAUACAAAGAGAAGCGACCUCGCGAGAGCAAGCGGACCUCAUAAAGUGCGUCGUAGUCCGGAUUGGAGUCUGCAACUCGACUCCAUGAAGUCGGAAUCGCUAGUAAUCGUGGAUCAGAAUGCCACGGUGAAUACGUUCCCGGGCCUUGUACACACCGCCCGUCACACCAUGGGAGUGGGUUGCAAAAGAAGUAGGUAGCUUAACCUUCGGGAGGGCGCUUACCACUUUGUGAUUCAUGACUGGGGUGAAGUCGUAACAAGGUAACCGUAGGGGAACCUGCGGUUGGAUCACCUCCUUACCUUAAAGAAGC
rnacentral:rRNA from 1 species